AAGACGAGUCGGGAAAGAAGAGCAGGUUGAUAGACUGGAUGCUGCUAUGGUAAUCUGCCUCAGGAAAAUGCCGGACUGUUGUUUGCAAGCUGGUUAAGUGAGCAAAUCUUGGGAAGAUUUCAAGAGUCUUACUGUGUUGCCCAGACUGGAGUACAGUGGCGCGAUCUCGGCUCACUGCAGCUACCGCCUCCUGGGUUCAAGCGAUUCUUGUACCUCAGCCUCGCGAGUAGUUGGGACUACAGGCGACCGCCACAACACCUGGCUAAUUUUUGUUGUAUUUUUAGUAGAGAUAGGAUUUCGCCAUGUUGCCCAGGCUGGUCUUGAACUCCUGACCUCAAGUGAUCUGCCCACCUCGGCCUCCCAAAGCAUUGGGAUUACAGAGACGGGGUUUCACCAUGUUGCCCAGGCUGGUCUUGAACUCCUAGCCUCAAGUGAUCUGCCCACCUCGGCCUUCCAAAGUGCUGGGAUUACAGUUUUUAUCUUCAGGAAACUCCCAAGCAUUCUGGAAGCUCUGCAUGUGAGUAAGAACCACUGCUGUUGCUGUUGCUGUAGCUGCCUGAAUCUAUGGCAAAAAGCCAGGAAAAAAAAAUUGCUUCACACCAUGUGCACCGACUCCCCUGGAGCUGGCACCACCAGGGCGUCUGCAGAGCUAUGUCUGACAGUCCUGCCAUUUCCUAACUUCUCCUGUGUGGUCAUCCACCUACCUUUGGGAACCUCCAGUCAUUACUCACAGAGUUGGUCUCAUCCUGGGAACUCUCUCUUGCCUCUCCCAGUGGUUCAUUCUCCAAGUCUGAGUUAUUUGGUCAAAAAAACCUCCAAAUGCUUCAGACAACUCUCGCAAACUUGUCAUAGCUUUUGGUAUUCCAGGCCACAGAAGAGCCCAGGUGGGUACAUGGGCCCUCCAAGUGUUUGUUUCCUCACCACUGUGAGUGACAAAUAUGCUUCUUUAUCCUUAAAAUUGUCCAGCCAGUAACUGUUGGAACACACUGACCUAGAUCCACACAUGCAAACACACCUUUCAAGGGCAAAUGUUAAUUCACAAAGACAAUUGUAAAAUCUAAGCUAAAGUUCACAAAUGGGAGCUGCCUUUGAAGUGAAUUCAGCCCACAGACAUCUUUGA
rnacentral:lncRNA from 1 species